CCCUUCAAACUUCUCCUGUCAUCAAACAAAGGCAACAAUGGCGAUCACUCGAGCAAGUGUUUUGCUGGCUAGAAAUUCAAUGUUUGGCAUUCAACAUCAAAUGGAUAUGGCUUUGUUUUCCUCUUUUAACAUUUCUCCUUGUACAAGUAGCAAUAAGGUCUUGUUUAGUAAGAUUGAUUAUGCCCUUGCUUCUUUCAACGCCAUGAUUGGCAGGGAACCUCUCCCUUCUAUUGUCGAAUCUAAUAAUUUACUAUCCACAGUUGUGGACGUGAAAGAAUAUGAGACGGUGGUUUCUUUGUCCAAACAAAUGGAACUUGCUGGAAUUCCUAAUGAUGUUUGUACUCUUUACAUCUUGAUCAAUUGCUUCUGCCAUUUACGUUGUGUUGAUUCUGGGUUCCCUCUCUUGGGAAAAAUCCUUAAAUGCGGUUUUCAGUCUGGUACUUUUACAUUUACUACCUUAGUAAAUGGGGUGUGUAAAGAGGGUAUUUUGUAUCAAGCUGUGAAACUGGUUAAUGAAAUGUUGGCUAAGGGAUAUCGACUCAAUUCAUAUACUUACAGACGAUCGUAAACAGCCUUUGUAAAGUUGGUAAAAUCACUGAGGCAGAUGGGUUGCUUGGGAAAAUGAAAAGCGUAGGUUGUGUGCCAGAUGUUGUUGCAUACAAUUCACUGAUGAAUGGAUUUUGUUUCGCGAGGGCAAAUGGAUGAAGCAAAAAAAAAAGUAUUUGGUGUGAUGGUGAGCAAGGGUGCUAUGCCCAGUGUUUCUAAGUACAACACCUUGAUCUGUGGAUAUUGUAAGAUGGAAAGGAUAGAUGAAGCAAUGCAACUUUUUGAUAAAAUGUCUCAUAAAGGCUUUGUUCCUGGUAUAGUUAAUUACAAUACUUUCAUAAAGGGCUUCUGUCAAGUAUGGACGAUCUGUGAUGAAUAAGAGAUUUUCAGGGACAUUCGUGCUUCUAGCCAUACUCUAGAUUUAAAAACUUACACUAAUUUGCUUAAUGGCUAUUGCAAACAAGGGUAUAUUGAAUAGGCUUUGGCACUAUUUCGAGAGAUUCAAAGUAGAGAUAUUUAGCCAGACUUGGAAACCUACAACACCCUUAUCGAUCAAUGGUAUGUACAAGUCUGGGAAGAUUCAAGAUGCAAAGGUACUGUUUUCUAGACUUGGUAUUCAAGGAUUUCAGCCUGAUUUUUAUAUAUACACCACUAAUUGUUGGACUUUGCAAGGAAUGAAAUGUAAUUGAAGCACGAGAGCUUUUUUAUAGAAAUGGAAGAGGAUGGCUGCAUGCCAAAUUAUUGCUCUUAUAAUGUCAUAAUCCGAGGAUUUCUCCUACACAAAGAUACAUCAAAGGCAAGGAAACUCAAUGAAAUGGUCAAUCGUGGAUUCUCUGCAGAUUCUGCCACCAAAACCUUGCUGGGAGAUCUAUUCCCUAUUGAUGGGAGUCCUGCUUUAAAAAAAUUACUUGUGCCUUCUGAAGGUUGCCAAGGUGAAAAGGUGAAGUAAACUUUGAAAACUUGAUAUUGACUUGAUUAAUUGUAGAUUCUAUUUCCAUCGCAUCUCAUAUAUUAUUUAUGAUAUGAUUUUGCACAAAGUCCAGCAUCCCUUGUCUUGUUUUCAACUGGGUGUGAAUUCUCAUUACUGCUCAAUUGAAGGAAAAAAGAAACAGCUACUGUCAUAUAAUUGGAUUCUGCUAGCAUAAUUUAUCCUUUUAUUCUUGGGCUAUAGUUAAAAGUAACAAAAAAAGGUAUCGCAUUCAAAUGCCUUUAUGAGGUACUCUUAGAAUCUUAGCGUCUAACAGUUGUUUCCGUCAGAAAGUAUAUUGCUUCAUACAUUCCACUAGACAAGUAGUAUGGUGCCCUGAUGGAAAUAUAGUAAUGUUUAAGACUUUUAGUGUAUCCCAUAUGCAAAGCGUUAAGUAUCAUGAUCUGUUUUUUACAAGUUUUGAAAUGGAACCAAAUGGUUCGGCUAUAAAAUUUGGCAGGAAGUUCCAAAGAAACAAAACCCUGAUGUAAGUACUGGCUAAAGAAUUCACUCUUUCACUACUACCUGUACUCCUGAUGAAGCUUUUGUGGACCCAUCUAAGCUGAAGAGGCCAUAUGCAGGCAAAAAAUGGAUAUUUUAGGGUUCUGGCACGUUGCUUAUUAUGAUGCAGGGGCUCUGCUGGUCAUCAAUGAGCUGACACAGGGUAUCAAGGGGCAUAUGAAGUUAUGGGGUCUUCCCCGGAAUACUGAAGCAUUCCAAAUUUUUGCUGUAGGCUUGCCAGUUGGAGCUGUGUUUGUUGGUGACCAUGGAUGGAAGUACAUUUGCUGAUGAUUCCCUUGUUUGUCAUGCAGAAUUGAGUGCCUGAAAAAAAUCUCAAAAUUGAAAUUUUAGCUAGUUUAUGUAAGAAGGAGCUGUAGUUCAAAAUAAUUUGUGGCAAAAGCCUGGUGGAAACUCACGUGUGAAAGAAGUUGGAGGUUUUCUGCUUAUUAUUGGAAGUUAGCUGGACGUACCAGCCUCCCUAUUCAUAGAUGUAUUUGGAGAUUCUAGCAUUCAAAUAUAUAUAUAUAU